AUCCCAUGAUGAGGACAGGCGGCGACGUAUUCCUGCAGCCUUUCCCACGCUUCCGGGAUCAUCUCAUCUCUUGUUUGUUGGAAGCUGAAUAUCCUUCCACGAAGGGC
rfam:Oryza punctata chromosome 2, whole genome shotgun sequence.